AACGAACGCUGGCGGCAUGCUUAACACAUGCAAGUCGAACGCGUGCAGCAAUCCACGAGUGGCGCACGGGUGGGCAACGAGGGGAUACCCGCCUUUGGGUUCGGAAUAACCCCGUGGAACUGGGUCUAAUACCGGAGGGUUACUCCGGGAAGAAGAUCUAUCGCCAAAAGCUGAGUCCGCGUCCGAUUAGCUAGUUGGUUGGGUAAUCGCUCACCAAGGCGACGAUCGGUAGCUGGUCUGAGAGGACGAUUAGCCACACUGGGACUGAGACACGGCCCAGACUGCGACGGGAGGCAGCAGUGGGGAAUAUUGGACAAUGGGGGCAACCCUGAUCCAGCCAUGCCGCGGGAGUGAUGAAGGCCUUCGGGUUGUAAAGCUCUUUUGGCCGGGACGAUAAUGACGGUACCCGGAGAAGAAGCCCCGGCUAACUUCGUG
rnacentral:rRNA from 1 species